UACAGAGGGUGCGAGCGUUAAUCGGAAUUACUGGGCGUAAAGCGUGCGUAGACGGUUAUUUAAGUCGGAUGUGAAAGCCCCGGGCUCAACCUGGGAAUUGCAUUCGAGACUGAAUAGCUAGGGUACGGUAGAGGAAGUGGAAUUUCCGGUGUAGCGGUGAAAUGCGUAGAUAUCGGAAGGAACAUCAGUGGCGAAAGCGACUUCCUGGACCAGUACCGACGUUCAGGCACGAAAGCGUGGGAGCAAACAGG
rnacentral:rRNA from 1 species